AUUGAACGCUGGCGGCAGGCCUAACACAUGCAAGUCGAGCGAGCGGCGGACGGGUGAGUAAUGUAUGGGGACUGCCCGUUAGAGGGGGAUAAUCACUGGAAACGGUAGCUAAUACCGUAUACUAUCCGAUUACCUAUUUGGGAUUAGCUGGUAGGUGAGGUAAUGGCUCACCUAGGCGACGAUCCCUAGCUGGUCUGAGAGGAUGAUCAGCCACACUGGGACUGAGCCACGGCCCAGACUCCUGCGGAGGCAGCAGUGGGGAAUAUUGCGCAAUGGGCACAAGCCUGAUGCAGCCAUGCCGCGUGUAUGAAGAAGGCCCUCGGGUUGUAAAGUACUUUCAGUCGGGAGGCGUUACCGACAGAGGAAGCACCGGCUAACUCCGUGCCAGCAGCCGCGGUAAUUC
rnacentral:rRNA from 1 species